rnacentral:rRNA from 1 species
GGACGAACGCUGGCGGCGUGCCUAAUACAUGCAAGUCGAGCGGACGAUUCAAAAGCUUGCUUUUGAAUCGUUAGCGGCGGACGGGUGAGUAACACGUGGGCAACCUGCCCUGUAGACGGGGAUAACACCGAGAAAUCGGUGCUAAUACCGGAUAACACGAAAGACCGCAUGGUUUUUCGUUGAAAGGCGGCGCAAGCUGUCGCUACAGGAUGGGCCCGCGGCGCAUUAGCUAGUUGGUGAGGUAACGGCUCACCAAGGCGACGAUGCGUAGCCGACCUGAGAGGGUGAUCGGCCACACUGGGACUGAGACACGGCCCAGACUCCUACGGGAGGCAGCAGUAGGGAAUCUUCCGCAAUGGACGAAAGUCUGACGGAGCAACGCCGCGUGAGCGAAGAAGGCCUUCGGGUCGUAAAGCUCUGUUGUUAGGGAAUAACAAGUACCGCAGUCACUGGUGGUACCUUGACGGUACCUAACGAGAAAGCCACGGCUAACUACGUGCCAGCAGCCGCGGUAAUACGUAGGUGGCAAGCGUUGUCCGGAAUUAUUGGGCGUAAAGCGCGCGCAGGCGGUUCCUUAAGUCUGAUGUGAAAGCCCACGGCUCAACCGUGGAGGGUCAUUGGAAACUGGGGGACUUGAGUGCAGAAGAGGAGAGCGGAAUUCCACGUGUAGCGGUGAAAUGCGUAGAGAUGUGGAGGAACACCAGUGGCGAAGGCGGCUCUCUGGUCUGUAACUGACGCUGAGGCGCGAAAGCGUGGGGAGCAAACAGGAUUAGAUACCCUGGUAGUCCACGCCGUAAACGAUGAGUGCUAAGUGUUAG